CACUGCCCGUUCCUACCUACCAAUUGAAUGAUUUGGUGAGGUCUUCGGACCGGUGCGCGGUUACGUUAACUUACUGCGUCGCCGAUGUUGCUGGGAAGAUGACCAAACCUGAUCAUUUAGAGGAAGCAAAAGCCGUAACAAGGUUGAAG
rnacentral:ncRNA from 1 species